CAGAGGGUAGUUUAUAUAAAAUAUUAGUUUUGGAGACUAAAGAUAGGGCGUGGCUUUACCUCUGA
rnacentral:tRNA from 1 species